CAGCUGUCGCACUGAGAUAAUCUGUUAAUUAUAACAGUCAUUGUGUUUUGGCAAUGGAAGAAAAAAACAGGCUCUAAACAAGGCAAGGUACUGGGGAAAAGAGAAGGGAGGCAGGGCUGUGUCAAAAUGCAUGUCAGAUAUUAGCUUAAAAUGUAGGUGGGAGAGCUGGCCAGGGGGAGGGUCCCUCGCUGAGCUGUGCCUUUGCCCAAGAUAGAGGAUGGAAGGAAGGUGGCAGCAGCCAUGUGGAAAUGUAAAGUCUUAUCCCGUGUGACAUUGCUCCUCUUGCUGAAUCCAGGUUUGCAUUGACCAGUGGAAGAGCUUUGAGGGACUGAAGUGUCCCCAUUAGCACCUGCUAAUUUCACUCUUGCAUUUCUCUCUUGGGUCAUCUGAAACAACUUCUCCAUGUCCCCCACACGCCUCUCCUCUACUUCUGCCCACCAGCAGAUCAGGACUGCAUCUGCCUUUUUGUGAAACACCACCUGUAACUGCUUUCUUCUGCUCCCAGUUGACUCUCCAUUUGAUGGAAACCCAAGCACAAAGUCUGUCUCGUCUUUUGACAUCAUCCAGACUAACGACUUUGAGUGGCAACACAGGACUUCCACAGGUCAGGGAUGCCCUGGUUGAGAAUGCCAUGUAAGGGCAGCCACUUCAUCUCACUGGAGAGGUGGCUUGGCCUCUGGAGUUUUCUUGCUGGACUUGCACUGGGAUGGCUACUUGUCAUACUUGGAGAGAGAACUCACUGCUGGUGAAGGAACCUCUCUCAGUUACUCGCCUAGGGGAAGGUUGGCUGGAAGCCAACCGCACACUGAAGGAUGCUGGAGUGCUGAUGCCUCUGCCCCAUUGGAGUCUGUGGACAUGGAAGUAUUCUCCACAGAUUCCAGUGACAGAUGGAUCUCUCUUGUGCACACGUGCUCUUUCCCUCUCUGUAUUUUUGUUUUCGACAUGUUUGAUCUGAAGUUCUGAAGCUUCUCAGAGGGAACCCGGGAGAGAAGGAAGAGGAGGAGGAGGAGGAGGAGGAGGAGGAACCGAGGGAGUGUGAGCGACAGAAGAGGCAGCCCUGCCUUGUUCUUCCA
rnacentral:lncRNA from 1 species